AGACUCUGGUUUCUCUUCAUAACAAAUAAAUCUUUCGUUUUUUACUAAAGAUUUCUGUGGAGAGGAACAACCGUGAGUUUCAUGUAAUUUUUUUUUUUUUUUUUCAUGCCUGGCUCA